AUUGAACGCUGGCGGCAUGCCUUACACAUGCAAGUCGAACGGUAACAGGUCUUCGGAUGCUGACGAGUGGCGCACGGGUGAGUAAUACAUCGGAACGUGCCCGAUCGUGGGGGAUAACGAAGCGAAAGCUUUGCUAAUACCGCAUACGAUCUACGGAUGAAAGCAGGGGACCGCAAGGCCUUGCGCGAACGGAGCGGCCGAUGGCAGAUUAGGUAGUUGGUGGGAUAAAAGCUUACCAAGCCGACGAUCUGUAGCUGGUCUGAGAGGACGACCAGCCACACUGGGACUGAGACACGGCCCAGACUCCUACGGGAGGCAGCAGUGGGGAAUUUUGGACAAUGGGCGAAAGCCUGAUCCAGCCAUGCCGCGUGCAGGAUGAAGGCCUUCGGGUUGUAAACUGCCUUUGUACGGAACGAAAAGACUCUGGUUAAUACCUGGGGUCCAUGACGGUACCGUAAGAAUAAGCACCGGCUAACUACGUG
rnacentral:rRNA from 1 species